rnacentral:ncRNA from 1 species
CGAAUCCUCCGAGCCGUUUUGCCUAAGGCGGAAGCUAUGGCAACUCGGACGGGGUUGCGGUGGAAACGCCGUUGCCUCCCAUUGCGGAAAGGAGAGAAAAU